rnacentral:rRNA from 1 species
CAUCACUACGCUAGAUGCAUAUCAAUAAGCGGAGGAAAAGAAACUAACUAGGAUUCCCUCAGUAACGGCGAGUGAAGCGGGAAGAGCUCAAAUUUGAAAUCUUAAAGGGUUUCCCUUGACGAAUUGUAGUUUAAAGAAGUGUUUUCUGUUGGAGUUUUCGGUAAAAGUUCUUUGGAAUAGGACAUCAUAGAGGGUGAGAAUCCCGUAUUUGACCAUUACUUUCCAGCUGUGUGAUACACUUUCAAAGAGUCGGAUUGUUUGGGAAUGCAGUCCAAAAUGGGUGGUAAAUUUCAUCUAAAGCUAAAUAUUGGCGAGAGACCGAUAGCGAACAAGUACCGUGAGGGAAAGAUGAAAAGAACUUUGAAAAGAGAGUUAAACAGUACGUGAAAUUGUCAAAAGGGAAGCGUUUGACACCAGUGUUGUUUAGUUGAAAAUCAAUUCAAAUAGAGUUUGGAUUUUAGUAUGUAAUUGACUUCAUCAGCUUACUGUACUUUCUUUCUGAUAUUAUUGAAUGCACUUUUCAGUUAACAAGUCAACAUCAAUUUCUUUUGUUGUAAAAGGGUAAUAGGAAGGUGGCUUACCUUCGGCGUGAAGUGUUUAUAGCCUUUUAGCCUCUACAAUCGGAGAGAUUGAGGACUAGCAGCGUAGACUCCUUCGGGGGUUAGAUACACUUGUGCUAAGCUAUAGCCUUGUAUAGACAACUUGUUGACUAUGCUCAGUCAUGUAGCUUACUCGCUUGUGCUAUUUUACCUACGCUUAGGAUGUUGACACACGCGCGUGCUCG